rnacentral:rRNA from 1 species
UACGUAGGUGGCAAGCGGUGUCCGGAUUUAUUGGGUUUAAAGGGUGCGUAGGCGGCUUUAUAAGUCAGUGCUGAAAUAUCCCGGCUUAACCGGGAGGGUGGCAUUGAUACUGCAGAGCUUGAGUGAAGUCGAGGUAGGCGGAAUUGACGGUGUAGCGGUGAAAUGCUUAGAUAUCGUCAAGAACACCGAUAGUGAAGACAGCUUACUAGACUUCAACUGACGCUGAGGCACGAAAGUGUGGGGAUCAAACAGG